UUUGUAAAAUGAGCUGAAGAAGAAAAUGAUAAACUAUUUCAGCAUCUUUUCCAAGGAAACCCAGAUGGGCUCAUGAGGAGUCAAGGCAAGAGUGGACAACAACAAUUAAACAUAAAGUCUGGCAGUGAUUCUGCUGUUUCAAUGAUCUUAAAAGAAGAAUGGAAAGAGGGGAAGAGGAAAUGUUGUGGUGAAGAAGAAAAGAAGCACCAAGGAAAUUACCUUCACAAAUAAGGAAGGAGUGGGAUAGUAGGUAACAUUUGAACCUCAAUCUCAACUGAACUGGUCAAAGGCUUGGUUUUAUCCAUGAAAGAAUUCUGUGAGAAGGGGUAAGAAUAUCAUCACAUUGUGAGAAAUAAUCCCUUUAGGGAUACAGGGCGACAGAAAGGGAGGAAGACAGAAGGAAGGGAGAAGAUAAGAAAACCUUUGCAGUUUCUCUGACAGGAGGCUAGCAGGAUGACCUUUUUCAUGGGAAGAUUUGUGGUGAAUAUUGAUCCUGUUGACAGAAAUGGUGAAAUAAGUAAAAGAUGCAAAGUUUGCCAGCUGUAAGGCCUCUCAGGUGUUCCAGUCCUACAUCACUAAAUGAUUUGCUAGAUGUCUCUGUCUUCAUGUUCUUUUGGCAUUUCAAACCCAACAUACUUAUAAUACAACUCAUUGUCUUUCUCCAAAGAGAAACUCUUCUAAACAUUUCUGCUUUCAUUCAGCACAUGAAUUAGUCAUAUUUUUCUCAAGGCUGAGUUUUCCUAUCUUGUCCAGGAUAGAAGCCACUUAUAAUACAACCACUUAUGGCCCAAUUCUACAGUUGGUCAGCAUGGAAGAUGAGCCAAUUUGACUUUCUUUAGGCAAUCUGGUGACCUUUUAUUUCUGGAAGCUCCUCAUAUUGGUGCUGGACUUAAUGGGGACACCCAGUUGACUUCAGAACUUUUGAGCUCACUUUGGUGAGUGAUUCACCAAACUCAACCUCUCCAAAAUCAGUCUUACCUGUAUGGAUUGCAGGGAUAUGGUACUACAUGUAGUUGAAAUUUUAUGUAUCCAUAAAGAUUUACCUUAAACUCAUCAGAAAAGACUUCAUGUAGGAGGUGAUAUUUGAGCUAUAUAUGUAGAAAUCAUGCAACGUUUCUAUUUUAAAAUAAUUCGAAUUGUAGAAUUGAACUCUUGGAAAAAAAUUAGGGAUUUUUAGAAAGGGAGGUAAGAAGGGAGUACAUUCCAGAGAUGAAAUGUCAUAUGUGAGGAGUAGCAAGAAGGAUUUGGCUAAAUAAUACAGUAUAUGAAGAGGAACAAUAUGUAAUAUGUCUGGGGAGGGAAAUUGGAUUCAAAUUCUAAUGGGCUUUAAAUCGCAAACAGUAGAGUUUGUAUUUGGUUUUAGGAACAAUAGAAUAUCAUUGGAGUUUAUGAGU